AAAUUUGGCAUGGGUAAUUUUUAAGACAGUUGUGUAAUCCUGGAAGAAAUUGUUCAAAUCGAACCACAAUACCAUAUGGCUAACAUACUAACUAAUUGAUCGAGUUCUUGUGAGGAAUCUUGUAAGGAAUAUUUUAUAAACAUUGUGGAAAAAAAGUACCUUGAAAUUGUAAUUAAUUUCCCCGGGUAAAUAAUAUACCAAAAAAAUGUAUUUUGCGAAGUAGGUAGGACCGCCAGUAAUUACUAUGCCAAAUAUGAGCAUGAUCUGUCAACCAGUUUGUUUACAGUAGCUGCUUAAGUCAGUGCACCUCCUUAGUGCGUUGAGAUUUUUACAAUGAAUUAAAAUAUAUCGGAAACGGAACUUGUCUCAAAUUUUACAUUUGUAACCAAGUUUCGUGUGCGGAAUCGUUACGAAUUAUGGAAAAGGCCUACGGAGAUUCAGUUUUAUCAAAAACACAAACCUUUAAAGGCAGUCGAGAGAUCGUUGAAGACAUGCUUCGUUCUAGAUGACCUUUGACCUAUUCAACUGAUGAAAAUAUAAAAAAAGUGAAGGAUGAAGAAGGACCAUUGAACAUGCUUCCGAUCCCACAUUGAUGAAGAUCAUUACAACUGCCGAAAAGACAUGAGUUUGACAUACAAACAAGUUACAACAAUGAUUUGAAUGAUAUCCGUUUUCAUUCGAUCGAAGGGAUAAAACAAAAUUCGCUGAAGGAGCUGAAGGCCAUCCCAAAAAAUGCUUAUGAAAAGUGUUUCGAGGACUGGAAAAAUAAGUAAAUAAGUGGCCUCAUUCUUGGUCGCACAAUGGCAAAACGGCAUGAAAUUUGCGCGAACAACCUUGAAGAGAUGUAAGAGCAGCAUGCAAAGACAUCAACAAAAGGCAAACGACAUGUGAAUUAGUAAGCAAUAAAAUACGAAAAAGCAAUAAAAAGGAAAACAGGAAAAAGGAAGGGGAGAAGUAAAGUAGGCUCCCCGCAAGUCUCAGCGUGUAAAAGAGACACUUGUAGAAAGUGUGAAAAGAGAGAGAGAGACGGCGUUGACAGCAUGUGGUGUCACCACAAUACUAUACAUAAAUAUACGAACUGAUAAUUGACAAUACGUACAACAACAACAAGUGCACAAGAAUUGAAAAUUUGUGGGAUAAAAAGUGAGCAGGCAAAUAGCGGAAAUGGAUAGAAUUGUAAGCGAAAGCACAAUUAAAUUUCCGCACAUCCGUCAUGCCCCAAAUGCCCACACUCACAACAAAAACCGAAGUAAUCAGUGCAGAAUGUAAUGAAAAAGUGUUACAUACAAAUAAAGAAAGCCAAAUUAAGAGCGCUGCAAAAGCUCAUUAAAGCAAUCUUUUGAGUGAAAGAUUUAUGCGAAAUAUUUUUCCCCUUUUUUUUGUAGUGUAUGCAUGUAUUGGGAGUAUAGUGUGCAGUGUUGUUAUGCGUAAGAAGCUUUAAAUUCACCUUUCUCUAAUCAGCCAGCGAGCUUUUGAAAGAAAAUCUAACUUCCAGGGUUUUUUCUUAAAAAUAACGUUAAUCCCGGAUUUAUUUGCCUUCGCUUAAAGCAGAAGAAUAAAAUAAUUUUAUACAAAGUAAUCUAAAUUUAAUAUUGUGCCUUUAUUAAGCCCACAGCCAUGUUUAACGAAAGAUUUAUAAAACUUCCAAGACAUAAACGCAUUUAAGCUCAGCCCACAAGCUUAUAGCUUAUAGAAUUAAAUCAAAUAAUAACAGUUACUGCUGAUAGUUGGUUGCCCAAGCAGCCGUGUGUGUAAGCAUUUGGCGAGCAUCUACAGUUGCCGUCGUCAGCCGUAUUCAGAAUGACCGACUUGGAACGCAUAAGACUGGUUAUGCUGGGCGGUGCUGGUGCGGGCAAAAGUUCCAUCAUCAAACGUUUCCUCUUCAAGACCUAUACGGACAAAUAUCGUGCCACGGUCGAGGAUCUCUUUAGUCGGGAAUAUGAUUUGGGCGGCGUCACACUGAAGGUUGACAUUUUAGACACUUCCGGUGAUAUGCAAUUUCCCGCUAUGCGCCGCCUGUCCAUUGCCACCGCCCAUGCUUUCAUGCUGGUCUAUGCGUCUACGUCAGCGUCGAGUUUUCAAUGUGUCAAAGAGUGUUUUCAGGAGAUACGUGAGCAGCGCGCCGACUAUCAGGAUAUUCCCAUUGUUAUCGCCGGCAAUAAAUCUGAUUUGGCCAACACACACCGAGAGGUGCGACUGGAAGAAGUCACGGACUGGGUCUACUGUGAAUUGCCGCGUCUAAGAGCGAAAGUGCUGGAGUGCUCCGCCAAGGAGGAUCAAAACGUGACUGACCUCUUCAAAACGUUGCUGUCUCUAUCGCGAUUUCUGCCCGUCGGGAGCAAUAAUGACGGCACGAGUGGACUCAAGCGACGCUCUUCGGCAUAUGUUAGUGCAUCGUCAAGUAGAAAUCGGCAAAGUGUGCGAAAAGGCGUGGAUCCAACAAAUGGCAGUAGAAUAUGGCGAACAAAAUCUUGGUACAGACAAGAAUCGCAAUGCUGGUCCUUCCGUUUCGGGUGGUAAAAAGUCCAGCUUAGUCGAAGCUGUGGACCCAGCCACAAGCUGUGGCGAUGCCAAGCUGAAGCCCAGAUCUAGGUCACUCAUACGCCGUGGAUCACGCAAAACCAAACAGAAAAUCAACAACGCGUCCGAUGACUGUAAUUUGCAAUAAAGCAGCGGAAGAAGGCAAGUGUGAAAGAUUGAAAGCGCGAAAAUUCUAUGAAGAGCGCUAGCGAAUAUAUACAAUUAUACAAAAAAUAAUAAAUCACAGAAGCUAACGGAUAACAACAUCAACAAAAACAAGCAGCAAAAAGACAAA